CCUACGGGAGGCAGCAGUAGGGAAUCUUCCGCAAUGGACGAAAGUCUGACGGAGCAACGCCGCGUGAACGAUGAAGGCCUUCGGGUCGUAAAGUUCUGUUGUUAGGGAAGAACAAGUGCUAGUUAAAUAAGCUGGCACCUUGACGGUACCUAACCAGAAAGCCACGGCUAACUACGUGCCAGCAGCCGCGGUAAUACGUAGGUGGCAAGCGUUGUCCGGAAUUAUUGGGCGUAAAGCGCGCGCAGGCGGUUUCUUAAGUCUGAUGUGAAAGCCCCCGGCUCAACCGGGGAGGGUCAUUGGAAACUGGGAAACUUGAGUGCAGAAGAGGAAAGUGGAAUUCCAAGUGUAGCGGUGAAAUGCGUAGAGAUUUGGAGGAACACCAGUGGCGAAGGCGACUUUCUGGUCUGUAACUGACGCUGAGGCGCGAAAGCGUGGGGAGCAAACAGGAUUAGAUACCCUGGUAGUCCACGCUGUAAACGAUGAGUGCUAAGUGUUAGAGGGUUUCCGCCCUUUAGUGCUGAAGUUAACGCAUUAAGCAUCCGCCUGGGGAGUACGGUCGCAAGACUGAAACUCAAAGGAAUUGACGG
rnacentral:rRNA from 1 species